UUGAUAUUGGUUGUUUUCAUUGUUCUUCUGGGCAUGGUAGACGCUCUAAAAGGAAGAAACACUUUGAAAGAAAAACGAACUUUAAUCAAUUGGUAUACAAUUAUUAUAUUACUUAGCCUCCAAUCGGGAUUGUAUGUCUGGAAAAUUGUUAUCUUACCUUCCUACCACAUUCUGCCUUAAGAAAUGCUUCAACCACUGAUAAAUUUGAAUUAAAUAUCUCAUUGCAAAUCCAAACACAAACUCUGUCCAGAUACAGGCAUAGAUACUCGCAAUUGGAUGGAUGCUAAUGAUGCGUCAUGGUCAUGGGACGAUGUCUGGAGCUUUCGACGUCGAAUUUCAGCAGACAAUUUGGCAAGCUGUCAACGCCACUCACUGUGCGAAUGGUGGGCGUGGCACACAGGGUAGGAUAUACAUAUAUACCUAACCCAAAGAGUAAGGGAAUCGACAAUCCGAAGCUAAUGAUUGUCUGAGAGACGUUUGCCAGCAAAGACAUCAAUCAAUCCGAAGCUAAAGUGAAACCACCCCCAAGGGAGGAUACGCAGUGACUGCCCCACCGCCUUCAUCAGAUGUGUACAAACGUUCGGCUCUGCUCCUUAAAUAACAGCAACAGCUUGACCCGUGCGCGUGUCCAUUCAUGAAUUAUUAGUUGGAGCUUAUCAAACGUGACCAAAAUAGGAACGGAAAAAAUAUUAAUAAUAAAAAAAAGG